UACGAAGGGGGCUAGCGUUGCUCGGAAUCACUGGGCGUAAAGGGUGCGUAGGCGGGUCUUUAAGUCAGGGGUGAAAUCCUGGAGCUCAACUCCAGAACUGCCUUUGAUACUGAAGAUCUUGAGUUCGGGAGAGGUGAGUGGAACUGCGAGUGUAGAGGUGAAAUUCGUAGAUAUUCGCAAGAACACCAGUGGCGAAGGCGGCUCACUGGCCCGGUACUGACGCUGAGGUGCGAAAGCUAGGGGAGCAAACGG
rnacentral:rRNA from 1 species